rnacentral:rRNA from 1 species
AGAGUUUGAUCCUGGCUCAGAGCGAACGCUGGCGGCAGGCUUAACACAUGCAAGUCGAACGGGCGUAGCAAUACGUCAGUGGCAGACGGGUGAGUAACGCGUGGGAACAUACCUCUUGGUUCGGAACAACACAGGGNAAACUUGUGCUAAUACCGGAUAAGCCCUUACGGGGAAAGAUUUAUCGCCGAGAGAUUGGCCCGCGUCUGAUUAGCUAGUUGGUAGGGUAAUGGCCUACCAAGGCGACGAUCAGUAGCUGGUCUGAGAGGAUGAUCAGCCACAUUGGGACUGAGACACGGCCCAAACUCCUACGGGAGGCAGCAGUGGGGAAUAUUGGACAAUGGGCGCAAGCCUGAUCCAGCCAUGCCGCGUGAGUGAUGAAGGCCCUAGGGUUGUAAAGCUCUUUUGUACGGGAAGAUAAUGACGGUACCGUAAGAAUAAGCCCCGGCUAACUUCGUGCCAGCAGCCGCGGUAAUACGAAGGGGGCUAGCGUUGCUCGGAAUCACUGGGCGUAAAGGGUGCGUAGGCGGGUUUUUAAGUCAGAGGUGAAAUCCUGGAGCUCAACUCCAGAACUGCCUUUGAUACUGAAAGUCUUGAGUAUGGGAGAGGUGAGUGGAACUGCGAGUGUAGAGGUGAAAUUCGUAGAUAUUCGCAAGAACACCAGUGGCGAAGGCGGCUCACUGGCCCAUAACUGACGCUGAG